rnacentral:rRNA from 1 species
UACGGGGGGGCAAGCGUUGUUCGGAAUUACUGGGCGUAAAGGGCUCGUAGGUGGCCAACUAAGUCAUACGUGAAAUCCCUCGGCUUAACCGGGGAACUGCGUCUGAUACUGGAUGGCUUGAGGUUGGGAGAGGGAUGCGGAAUUCCAGGUGUAGCGGUGAAAUGCGUAGAUAUCUGGAGGAACACCGGUGGCGAAGGCGGUUCUCUGGGCCUGUACUGACGCUGAGGAGCGAAAGCGUGGGGAGCGAACAGG